rnacentral:rRNA from 1 species
AUUGAACGCUGGCGGCAGGCCUAACACAUGCAAGUCGAACGGUAGCACAGAGAGCUUGCUCUCGGGUGGCGAGUGGCGAACGGGUGAGUAAAGUAUCGGAACGUGCCCAGUCGUGGGGGAUAACGUAGCGAAAGUUACGCUAAUACCGCAUACGAUCUAUGGAUGAAAGCGGGGGAUCGCAAGACCUCGCGCGAUUGGAGCGGCCGAUAUCAGAUUAGGUAGUUGGUGGGGUAAAGGGUCACCAAGCCGACGAUCUGUAGCUGGUCUGUGAGGACGACCAGCCACACUGGGACUGAGACACGGCCCAGACUCCUACGGGAGGCAGCAGUGGGGAAUUUUGGACAAUGGGCGAAAGCCUGAUCCAGCCAUGCCGCGUGCAGGAUGAAGGCCUUCGGGUUGUAAACUGCUUUUGUACGGAACGAAAAGGUUUGGCCUAAUAAGCUGAGCUCAUGACGGUACCGUAAGAAUAAGCACCGGCUAACUACGUGCCAGCCGCCGCAGUAA